UACGUAGGGUGCGAGCGUUAAUCGGAAUUACUGGGCGUAAAGCGUGCGCAGGCGGCUUUGCAAGACAGAUGUGAAAUCCCCGGGCUCAACCUGGGAACUGCAUUUGUGACUGCAAGGCUAGAGUACGGCAGAGGGGGAUGGAAUUCCGCGUGUAGCAGUGAAAUGCGUAGAUAUGCGGAGGAACACCAAUGGCGAAGGCAAUCCCCUGGGCCUGUACUGACGCUCAUGCACGAAAGCGUGGGGAGCAAACAGG
rnacentral:rRNA from 2 species